AGGGCACCACCAGGAGUGGAGCCUGCGGCUUAAUUUGACUCAACACGGGAAAACUCACCCGGCCCGGACACUGUAAGGAUUGACAGACUGAGAGCUCUUUCUUAAUUCGGUGGGUGGUGGUGCAUGGCCGUUCUUAGUUGGUGGAGCGAUUUGUCUGGUUAAUUCCGAUAACGAACGAGACUCUGGCCUAUUAAAUAGACGGUGUAUCUUGGAGUAUUCCCGCGCUUCCUUAAGGGGACAAGCGGGCGUCUAGCCGCAUGAAAAUAGAACAAUAACAGGUCUGGGGAUGGCCUUUAGAUGGCCGGGGGCUGGCCGCCCGCCUCCCCUGGAAAAAACAACGGUGCGAUUACCCUGUUUCGGAAAAACGGGGAAACCAAGUAAAUUCUUCCUGGCUGGGGAAAGGGAUUGGAAUUUUUCCCUUAAACGGGAAUUCCCGGAAAUGGGGGGCUUAAGGCUCCGGUUGUUUCGCCCCUGCCUUUGUGAAAAAGGGCGGGGUUUUUAGAUUUGGGGGUUUUAGGA
rnacentral:rRNA from 1 species